AGCUUGCUUGUCCAUCCACUUGUCGCCCUGUCUCUUCCAGCCCCACGCAUCCGCACAGUGUGCCAGGGAAUCAUGUUUGGCAGACCCAGGCUCUUCCAAACAUGAAGCAAACAGGGGGAGACUGCUUGACUCGAAGUAACAUUUUGCAUCAUAGAAAAAUGAUGGGAAAUUUUACUUGUGAAAUAUUGCUUAUUUCAAGGGUAGUAUGCCAAUACAAUUAAAAUAAAAUUUGUGGUGGUAGUAUGAUUAAACUCCUCUGUUAAGAUACAUGAGCUAAGUCAAAUUCUUUGGAGCCAGGUCAAAUGAGAGAUAAAAGAAACCCCAAGGUUCUUUUAACCUUUAGUGUUGAGUGAGCUCAGAGGUAAAUAUUUAUGUUCACAAAUACUCUUUCUUUUUUUAAAAAAAAUAUUUUUAUUUAUUUCAGAGAGGGAGAGAUGGAAACAUCAGUGAUGAGAGAGAAUCAUUGAUUGGCUGACUCCUCCACGCCCCCUCUGAGGAUGGAGCCGGCAACCCGGGCAUGUGCCCUUGAUCAGAAUCGAACCUGAGACCCUUCAGUACACAGGCCAAUGCUCUAUCCACUGAGCCAAACUAUCUAGGGCAGUGGUCGGCAAACUACUGCUCGCGAACCACAUGCGGCUCUUUGGCCCCUUCAGUGUGGCUUUUCCACAAAAUACUGACUUCUGUGCAUGGGCCACGAAGUUUCAAUCGCACUGUACAUGCGUGCCCGCAUGUGGUAUUUUGUGGAAGAGCCACACUCAAGGGGCCAAAGAGCCGCAUGUGGCUUGCAAGCCGCAAUUUGCCUACCACUGACUAGGGCAACACUAUCUCAACACAAACCAAACAAACUUGUAUCAGAGUAUAUACACACACACUCUCUCAUAUCACACAAAUACAGAUGCAUACCAAGUAGUUUGACUCUUUCUAAGUAAUGCAGGGAGUACAGAUAAUGUGUAGAUAAUUAAGAAUCUUCAAUUAAAAUUUAUUUAAUUUUCAACUUAUAAAGAGAUGGUAAUAUAUGAAUUAUGUUUUAGUUAAAAUGAUCUGAGGAAUUAUUAUAUUUUGAGACUCAGUAGUAGAAUUUAUUAACCUUUUAUUUAUGCUUUGAUUUUAGGGGAUGUAUUAUUGAUAACUGGUUCAUUUUUGUUGGUGUUCAUCAUUAUGCCUUAUAAACAAACCUUGUAUAGACAUAUAUCCAGAAAUCAUAUUUGGAGAAAUAAAACAUAAUAGAUUUUUUCCCAAAGUAUUUUACUUAAUUUGUGUACAUGAAAUGGUUUAAUUCAGACUGAAGCAUAAAACGACUAAUUUUUCCACUGCAGACAACUAUGCUUGACCAUCUGAAAAUGCAAAGAGCAACAGAGGUGUCAUCAUGUUUAGGAGUUGGCAUAGUUUUUAAAGUCUAUUUUAUUGAUUUUCAGAGAGGAAGAGAGAGAUAGAAACAUCAAUGAUGAGAGGGAAUCAUUGAUUGGCUGCCUCCCACACGCCCUCCCCUGGGAACCGAGCCCGCAACCCAGGCAUGUGCCCUUGGCUGGAACCAAACCUGGAACCCUUCAGUCCAGAGGCUGAUGCUCUAUCCAUUGAGCCAAACCAGCCAGGGCAGAGUUGGCAUUUUUAACAUUUGGCAUCAAUUAGGCGGUUUUUCAUUUAUGCAACUGAACUGUUUUUAAGCUUAUAUAUUUAUUGCCUAUAUAAACGUUAGGUACAAUUUUGGGAGCAGAGCUAUAAUUUGAUUUAUGUGGCUCACAUGACAUAUUUUUUUUGCCUCAAAUGACAUAUUCUUUGCUUAGAUGUCUUAACUGUUGAUUAACUUAAAGUGUAAGGAAUGACAUUGAUAGAAUGGAAGUAAUAUACUGUUUUACAAACUUCUGAAAUGUGUUUUGUUUCAGUAUGAACUGUGGGGAUGAAAAAGUUAGCUUUUAUGUGUAGUAGUAAAGAUAUAUAACUGUUAGCUCUCCUUAAAACCAGUCUUAUUAUUAGGGAUAGUAACCAAUGUUUAUCAUUUUGUUUGCUUUUUUUUUUUUUGAUACACAGAUUUAUUCUUUUUCUCUUCUCAUUUACAAGACACACAUUGUGGCAUAUAGAAACCUGCUGAUCUUUGUGAGGGCUUUUUGGUUAAUGGAGCUACUUUGUAUCCAGGAUCUCUGCAAAUCCAAAGUGAUUUUCUACUCCUAAAAUACUCAAAUCCUACUUUAGUUUUACCUUAAUAAUGAGAAUUCAAAUGAAGGUCACUGACUGUUCUUGUGAUAUGAUUAUGGUGGAAUACAUUGAAUCUUAAAAGAGCCUAGAAAAUGUUAAAUGGUAAAGAUAAUAUUUUAAAAUCCAGUCCCCCCCACCC